CUGAGUAAAGCUGAUCUGCUCUGGGUAAGUCGGGGCCUAAGGCCAGGUCGAAAGACGUAACCGAUGGACAACAGGUUGAAAUUCCUGUACCGCGAUAUAACAGAACUGUGGGGACACGUGUGGAGAGCACAAGCCGGGAAUGGAAAGCCCGGCGCAAGCAAGGUAGGAGUCGUACCGGCAAAUCCGUACGGCAAUCCGAAGAUGUGAUGCGUACCGAAUUAAGAGUAGGGAAGAGUGUGAGCCAUGCGUCAAGAAAAGCCGCUAUUGUUUGUAUCACGCCCGUACCGUAAACCGACACAGGUGGAUGAGGAGAGAAUCCUAAGGCCGACGGGAGAAGCAUUGUUAAGGAACUCGGCAAAAUGACUCCGUAACUUCGGGAGAAGGAGUGCCACUGAGAGGUGGCCGCAGAGAAUUGGCCCAAGCAACUGUUUAGCAAAAACACAGGUCUAUGCAAAACCGAAAGGUGAAGUAUAUGGGCUGACGCCUGCCCGGUGCUGGAAGGUUAAGGGGAGAGGUUAGCGCAAGCGAAGCUUUGAACUUAAGCCCCAGUAAACGGCGGCCGUAACUAUAACGGUCCUAAGGUAGCGAAAUUCCUUGUCGGGUAAGUUCCGACCCGCACGAAAGGCGUAAUGAUUUGGGCACUGUCUCAACAAUGCACCCGGUGAAAUUGAAAUACCAGUGAAGAUGCUGGUUACCUGCGCCAGGACGGAAAGACCCCAUGGAGCUUUACUCCAGCUUGAUACUGGGAUUCGGUAUUGCAUGUACAGGAUAGGUGGGAGGCUAAGAAGCGGUAACGCCAGUUGCCGUGGAGCUGCUGUUGGGAUACCACCCUUGCAGUACUGGGUUUCUAACCAGCGGCCUUAAACAGGUCGGGGGACAAUGUCAGGUGGGGAGUUUGACUGGGGCGGUCGCCUCCGAAAGGGUAUCGGAGGCGCUCAAAGGUUCCCUCAGAAUGGUCGGAAACCAUUCGAAGAGUGCAAAGGCAGAAGGGAGCUUGACUGCGACACCGACGGGUGGAGCAGGUACGAAAGUAGGACUUAGUGAUCCGGUGGUAUAAAGUGGGAUUGCCAUCGCUCAACGGAUAAAAGCUACCCUGGGAUAACAGGCUUAUCACUCCCAAGAGUUCACAUCGACGGAGUGGUUUGGCACCUCGAUGUCGGCUCAUCGCAUCCUGGGGCUGAAGUAGGUCCCAAGGGUUGGGCUGUUCGCCCAUUAAAGCGGUACGCGAGCUGGGUUCAGAACGUCGUGAGACAGUUCGGUCCCUAUCCGGCGUGGGCGUAGGAUAUUUGAGAGGAGCUGUCCUUAGUACGAGAGGACCGGGAUGGACUGGCCGCUGGUUGAUCUGUUGUUCCGCCAGGAGCAUAGCAGAGUAGCCAAGCCGGGACGGGAUAAACGCUGAAGGCAUCUAAGCGUGAAGCCCCCCUCAAGAUGAGAUAUCCCAACGAAAGUUGUAAGACCCCUUGAAGACGACGAGGUAGAUAGGACAGAGGUGGAAGUGUGGUAACACAUGGAGCUGACUGUUACUAAUAGGUCGAGGGCAUGACC
rnacentral:rRNA from 1 species